rnacentral:rRNA from 1 species
AGUGUAGGCGGCUAUUUAAGUCGGAUGUGAAAGCCCCGGGCUCAACCUGGGAAUCGCAUUCGAAACUGAAUAGCUAGAGUUUGGUAGAGGUAAGUGGAAUUCCGGGUGUAGCGGUGAAAUGCGUAGAUAUCCGGAGGAACAUCAGUGGCGAAGGCGGCUUACUGGACCAAAACUGACGCUGAGGCUCGAAAGCGUGGGGAGCAAACAGGAUUAGAUACCCUGGUAGUCC